UACGUAGGUGGCAAGCGUUGUCCGGAAUUAUUGGGCGUAAAGCGCGCGCAGGCGGUCCUUUAAGUCUGAUGUGAAAGCCCACGGCUCAACCGUGGAAGGUCAUUGGAAACUGGAGGACUUGAGUACAGAAGAGGAAAGCGGAAUUCCACGUGUAGCGGUGAAAUGCGUAGAGAUGUGGAGGAACACCGGUGGCGAAGGCGGCUUUCUGGUCUGUAACUGACGCUGAGGCGCGAAAGCGUGGGGAGCAAACAGG
rnacentral:rRNA from 1 species